rnacentral:rRNA from 1 species
AAGGCUCAGUACAACAGCUAUUAUUUAUUUGAUCAUAAACAUAGUUACUUGGAUAACUGUGGUAAUUCCAGAGCUAAUACAUGCAAACAACAUGGAUCCCUGUAGCAAUAUGGGUGAAACAUGUGCUUUUAUUAGAUUAAAACCAUGUCCAUCAUUUGGUGGAUUUGUUUUAGAUGAAUCUGGAUAAUUAUGGCUGAUCGUAUGGUCUUGCACCGACGAUAGAUCAUUCAAAUGUCUGCCCUAUCAACUAUUGAUGGUAGUAUAGAGGACUACCAUGGUUGCAACGGGUAACGGGGAAUCAGGGUUCGA